CCUACGGGAGGCUGCAGUGGGGAAUCUUGCACAAUGGGCGAAAGCCUGAUGCAGCAACGCCGCGUGAAGGAAGACGGUCUUCGGAUUGUAAACUUCUGUUCUUAGUGAAGAAUAAUGACGGUAGCUAAGGAGCAAGCCUCGGCUAACUCCGUGCAGGCAGCCGCGGUCAUCCGUAGGUGGCAAGCGUUGUCCGGAUUUACUGGGUGUACAGGGAGCGCAGGCGGUAAGCUAAGUCAGCUGUGAAAGCUUCGGGCUUAACUGGUGUAGUGCAGUUGAAACUGGUUGUCUUGAGUGAAGUAGAGGUUGGCGGAAUUCCUAGUGUAGCGGUGAAAUGCGUAGAUAUACGGAGGAACACCGGUGGCGAAGGCGGCCAACUGGGCUUUAACUGACGCUGAGGCUCGAAAGUGUGGGUAGCAAACAGGAUUAGAUACCCGAGUAGUC
rnacentral:rRNA from 1 species